rnacentral:rRNA from 1 species
GUAGGGUCCAAGCGUUAAUCGGAAUUACUGGGCGUAAAGCGUGCGCAGGCGGUUGUGCAAGACCGAUGUGAAAUCCCCGGGCUAACCUGGGAAUUGCAUUGGUGACUGCACGGCUAGAGUGUGUCAGAGGGGGGUAGAAUUCCACGUGUAGCAGUGAAAUGCGUAGAGAUGUGGAGGAAUACCGAUGGCGAAGGCAGCCCCCUGGGAUAACACUGACGCUCAUGCACGAAAGCGUGGGGGGAGCAAACAGGAUUAGAUACCCUGGUAGUCCACGCCCCUAAACGAUGUCAACUAGUUGUUGGGGAUUCAUUUCCUUAGUAACGUAGCUAACGCGUGAAGUUGACCGCCUGGGAGUACGGUCGCAAGAUUA